UGGCUCAGGAUGAACGCUGGCGGCGUGCCUAACACAUGCAAGUCGAGCGAGAAAUAAAGAAAUGAAGCUUCGGUAGAUUUUCUUUAUGGAAAGCGGCGGACGGGUGAGUAACGCGUAGGCAACCUGCCCUGUACAGGGGGAUAGCCACCCGAAAAGGUGAUUAAUACCCCAUAACGCAAGAGAUACACAUGUAUCACUUGUCAAAGAUUUAUCGGUAUAGGAUGGGCCUGCGUCUGAUUAGCUAGUUGGUAAGGUAACGGCUUACCAAGGCAACGAUCAGUAGCCGACCUGAGAGGGUGAUCGGCCACAUUGGAACUGAGACACGGUCCAAACUCCUACGGGAGGCAGCAGUGGGGAAUAUUGCACAAUGGGCGCAAGCCUGAUGCAGCAACGCCGCGUGAAGGAUGAAGGCCUUCGGGUUGUAAACUUCUGUCCUAGGGGAAGAAACAAAUGACAUUACCCUUGGAGGAAGCCCCGGCUAACUACGUGCCAGCAGCCGCGGUAAUACGUAGGGGGCGAGCGUUAUCCGGAAUUAUUGGGCGUAAAGAGUGCGUAGGUGGCACCUUAAGCGCAGGGUUUAAGGCAAUGGCUCAACCAUUGUUCGCCUUGCGAACUGGGGUGCUUGAGUGCAGGAGGGGAAAGUGGAAUUCCUAGUGUAGCGGUGAAAUGCGUAGAUAUUAGGAGGAACACCAGUGGCGAAAGGCGACUUUCUGGACUGUUACUGACACUGAGGCACGAAAGCGUGGGGAGCAAACAGGAUUAGAUACCCU
rnacentral:rRNA from 1 species